UACAGAGGUCUCAAGCGUUGUUCGGAUUCAUUGGGCGUAAAGGGCGCGUAGGCGGCCACCGCAAGUCGACUGUGAAAUCUCCGGGCUUAACUCGGAAAGGUCAGCCGAUACUGCGGGGCUAGAGUGCAGAAGGGGCAACUGGAAUUCUCGGUGUAGCGGUGAAAUGCGUAGAUAUCGGGAGGAACACCAGUGGCGAAGGCGGCUUUCUGGUCUGCUCUUGACGCUGAGGCGCGAAAGCUAGGGUAGCAAACGGG
rnacentral:rRNA from 1 species